GCCGGGCAUGGUGGCGCGUGCCUGUAGUCCCAGCUACUCGGGAGGCUGUGGUGGGAGGAUCGCUUGAGCUCAGGAGUUCUGGGCUUUAGUGCGUUAUGCCAAUUGGGUGUCCGCAUUAAGUUCAGCAUCAAUAUGGUGACCUCCCAGGAGCGGGGGACCACCAGGUUGCCUAAGGAGGGGUGAACCGGCCCAGGUCGGAAACAGAGCAAGUCAAAACUCCCAUGCUGAUCAGUAGUGGGAUUGCACUGGUGAAUAGCCAUUUCACUCCAGCCUGGGCAACAUAGUGAGACCCCAUCUCU
ensembl:misc_RNA Metazoa_SRP Metazoan signal recognition particle RNA